GACGUAGGGGGCAAGCGUUGUUCGGAAUUAUUGGGCGUAAAGCGCUCGUAGGCGGGACUGUAAGUCCGUGUUGAAAGACCUCGGCUCAACUGAGGGACCGGCGCGGAUACUAUAGUUCUUGAGGCAAUCAGAGGGUGAUGGAAUUCCCGGUGUAGCGGUGAAAUGCGUAGAUAUCGGGGAGGAACACCUGUGGCGAAAGCGGCUCACUGGACCACAACUGACGCUGAUGCACGAAAGCUAGGGGAGCAAACAGG
rnacentral:rRNA from 1 species